AGAGAGGACCGUUGGGAGAAUGAGAAGGCUGCUGGAGAGGGAUAGCUCAAGGGGACAGCUUCAGGUCUGAGAUGACUCGAAGAAAGGGGUCAGGAGGAGACUGAAGGAGCAAGUCCAGGGGCUGCAGAGGCUUCCCAAGCCCUGGGAAGAGUGAGUCCUAAGAAGUGGAAUGGAGUCGUCCUGAUUUCAAGCAGCGGUUACAUGCCAGGCCUUCCGGGGACACGAAGGUGCCACGCUGGGUGGCUUUCCACAGGAAGCCGGUGGCGAGACUGGAGAGUCCCAGAGGAGGAGUCCCAUGCCCAGGUGUCGGAGCGCGGGCAUCGAUCUCGGCUGGAGGAGGAGAGUCCCCUCGGUCCCCGCACCGCAGGCAGCCCGCCCCACGUCCCCAGCCAUCCCUUGCCAUGGAACAAAAGCAGACACAGACUCCAGGACCAAGGAGAGGCUUAAUGGAGGAAAAAUGAGGACUCCUGGGGGCUCCGGUGAUUCGUCGUUUCCAGAGGCUGA